AGCAGUAAGAGAACAGAGACAGGAAACAUGCACUCCUAUGGAGGGCCCGCCGGAAGGACUCAGCAGCAGAGGAUUCCACCUGCACAGGAAAGGGGUAAAUUUCCAUAAUUAUGAAGAGGCAGAAAGAGAUGGAGAGAGAGAAUGUUAUAACAGCAGAGAUAUUUUGUACAUUUCAUUUUAAAAAUAAAAUGUUAAAUUUAACAAAUGAAAAUAAACUAGUGAAGCUCAAGGAA